rnacentral:misc_RNA from 1 species
AAAGUCGUAACAAGGUCUCCGUAGGUGAACCUGCGGAGGGAUCAUUAACACUUUUCUUUUGAAAGAGGAAACUCUUUCUAUCCACUCGUGAACUAACUUAUGCCCCCGAUUGGUCUAUAUCGGUUAAACGAUAUAGGUUGGUCAACCAUUUUUUCUAUUAUUAUUUUGAAACCUUAUUUCCAACCGCUAACGCUAUAAACAGACAGUAUGUUUAGGCUGUAACAGGUCUGCCAUACAGUGAUAUAGUAACAAUCAAAGCACAACUCUUAGCAACGGAUAUCUCGGUUCUC